AACACUGUUAACCUGCGGUACCUGCGGAAGGAUCAUUAUUGAAUAAAUCUGAUGUGGUUGUAGCUGGCUCUCCGGAGCAUGUGCACGCCCGUCACCUUUAUCUCUCCACCUGUGCACACACUGUAGUCCUGGAUACCUCUCGCCGCAAGGCGGAUGCGAGGCUUGCUGUGUCUUUGCAAGAAGACCGGCUCGCUUCGAAUUUCCAGGUCUACGAUACUUAUACACCCCAAACUGAAUGUU
rnacentral:misc_RNA from 1 species